AGACGGAGGGUGCAAGCGUUGUUCGGAUUUACUGGGCGUAAAGGGCGUGUAGGCGGACAUACAAGCCGGGGGUGAAAGCCCUGGGCUCAACCCAGGAGGGUCUUCCGGAACUGUAUGUCUUGAGAGAGUCAGAGGCAGGUGGAAUUCCAGGUGUAGAGGUGAAAUUCGUAGAUAUCUGGAGGAACACCGGUGGCGAAGGCGGCCUGCUGGGGCUUUUCUGACGCUGAGGCGCGAAAGCGUGGGUAGCAAACAGGAUUAGAAACCCCAGUAGUCC
rnacentral:rRNA from 1 species